UGAUAGACUGGACCAAAGAAAGAAAGAAAGUUGAGGAGAACCCGCAAAGUGACUCAUCUUAGUGCCUCUCAAUGAGGAGGAUCCGACCAGAAUUGUUCAGGUCGGAUCAUCCUUAAGUGAUGAACUGAGGGAGAAGCUGACUUUCUAAGGAAGAAUGCAGAUGUCUUUGCCUGGUCUGCCUCAGACAUGUCGGACAUCCC
rnacentral:lncRNA from 1 species